rnacentral:tRNA from 1 species
GGAGAGCUGUCCGAGCUGGCCGAAGGAGCACGAUUGGAAAUCGUGUAUACCGUUACCGCGGUAUCGAGGGUUCGAAUCCCUCGCUCUCCGCCA